CUUUCUCUUUCUCUCCCUUUCGUUCACUAUGUCUAUAUAUAUAUAUAUAUUCAUAUUUCUAUCUUGUUUUCUUAUCAAUGACAAUCCAGUCCUUCCUUAACACUUACAACCACCACCCGGAAACUAGUCAGCCUAGUUUUGAUAAGUGUUUUUAUUUUUUUAUGAGAAUAUAUGUUUAUUUGAUAAUCUUUAAACACUUCGACUCGAUAUUUUACAUAUUAAGGAGAAGAUUUAAUGAGAAAGGCCUGUACGUGUACGUCAAGAAAAUUGUAUAUAGAAAAAGUGAAAUAUAAUUAUUGAUAGAAAUAAUUGAAUGUAUAUUUAAAUAUUUUGAUAUAUCACAAAUACCUGGCAAAUUAUUUCAACCAAUGUAGCAGUCUUCCCGGUACCAGGUGGUCCAAAUAAUAUAUAUGGUGCAGGAUGAGCAGUCAUAUUUAAAACAUUUAUCACUACUUGCUUCUGUUCAGAAUUUUUCUUAAUCGAUACAUUGAACCAUUUUAAAUCUCUAUAAAAGUAUAUUAUAACAUUUAGAAAAGGAAAACAUUAUAAAGAAAGUUUUAAUAACGACAAAUACAACUUACAAAUUCAAACAGUUUCUAUUCGUUCCAAUUGUUGGAUAUAUCAAUGACUUAAAAUAACAAUGAAUUUGUUUCAAAGCAUAAUGACAUAUUCUCAUAGACCAUUCUGACUCUAUUAAACUGAUGUUAUAUCUCUUACGUUUACUAAAUAGCAAUCCUUAAAUCAGAUUGUAAACGGGAAUCAGACCAGCUAAAAAUGAUACACAAUUGCUAAUGAGAACAUAAGAAAAAAUGUAAAUGAUUAAUAAAUAUCAAAAUUAAUGUCAUUUUUACUCACGCAUUGAAUUUCUUAGUCAUUUUGUUUCGACGUAAAACAAUUUGAAGUAUCUUUUAUAAAAAAAAUGUAACAAAGAAAUAAUUCCUUCCCUUUUUCCUAUCGUAACUUUGAGAAGAAUAAAUAAAAUUAAUCUAACAUAAAUUAAAUUCUAUAUUUGUUCCCGAAACACAAAUUGAACUUUAAUCACAACGAAAAAUAAAACGACUCGCUAGUAAGAAUUAUUAGUAUAGUACAAUAAUUAUGUAAUAUUAUUCUUAAUCUUAUCACUGUUAACAGUUUCUCUAAACAAUAUAUAUGUAGAAUUAAAUUUAUUGAAAUAUAAAUAAUGUGAAUAAUAGAUUUUCACAAAUAAAGUGAAAUUCUGACAAUAA